CGAUUGAACGCUGGCGGAAUGCUUUACACAUGCAAGUCGAACGGCAGCACGGGGCAACCUGGUGGCGAGUGGCGAACGGGUGAGUAAUACAUCGGAACGUGCCCAAUCGUGGGGGAUAACGUAGCGAAAGUUACGCUAAUACCGCAUACGAUCUACGGAUGAAAGCGGGGGAUCGCAAGACCUCGCGCGAGUGGAGCGGCCGAUGUCAGAUUAGGUAGUUGGUGGGGUAAAGGCUCACCAAGCCAACGAUCUGUAGCUGGUCUGAGAGGACGACCAGCCACACUGGAACUGAGACACGGUCCAGACUCCUACGGGAGGCAGCAGUGGAGAAUUUUGGACAAUGGGCGCAAGCCUGAUCCAGCCAUUCCGCGUGCAGGAUGAAGGCCUUCGGGUUGUAAACUGCUUUUGUACGGAACGAAACGGCGAGCUCUAAUACAGUUUGCUAAUGACGGUACCGUAAGAAUAAGCACCGGCUAACUACGUG
rnacentral:rRNA from 1 species